CGCUCUUUGUAAUUUAAAAAUAAAGAGUCGUACCUGCCCGGUGAAAAAUUUAAACGGCCGCAGUACCCUGACUGUGCUAAGGUAGCAUAAUCAUUUGCCUUUUAAUUGGAGGCUAGUAUGAAUGGUUUGACGAAGACUCAGCUGUCUCUAUUAUAUUAUCUGUAAAUUAUUUUUUAGGUGAAGAAACCUAGAUUUAGUCAAAAGACGAAAAGACCCUGUCGAGCUUAAAAUUAAAAUUUAAAUUAAAUUGUUUUUGGUAAAAAUAUUUUUAAUUUUUAAUCUUUUGUUGGGGCGACCGAAGAACAUAGAAAGCUUCUUUUUAUUUAUUUAACUGACUAGUUUAUUCAAAUAUUAUUAAUAAAUUAGAAUAAGUUACCGCAGGGAUAACAGCGUUAUUUUUUUGGAAAGUUCGAAUUGAAGAAAAAGAUUGCGACCUCGAUGUUGGAUUAGAAGCCCUUAUAGGUGAAGAAGCUUAUAAAAGGAGGUCUGUUCGACCUUUAAAAUUCUACA
rnacentral:rRNA from 1 species